rnacentral:rRNA from 1 species
UACAGAGGGGGCGAGCGUUGUUCGGAAUUACUGGGCGUAAAGGGCGCGUAGGCGGCCUGCUAAGUCGAACGUGAAAUCCCUGGGCUCAACCCAGGAACUGCGUCCGAUACUGGUUGGCUUGAAUCCGGGAGAGGGAUGUGGAAUUCCAGGUGUAGCGGUGAAAUGCGCAGAUAUCAGGAGGAACACCAAUGGCGAAGGCAGCUCGCUGGAACGGUACUGGACGCUGGAGGCGCGAAAGCGUGGGGAGCGAACAGG